UACGUAGGGCGCGAGCGUUGUCCGGAAUCAUUGGGCGUAAAGAGCUCGUAGGCGGCCGGUUGCGUCUGCUGUGAAAUCCCGGGGCUUAACCCCGGGCGUGCAGUGGAUACGGGCUGGCUGGAGGCAGGCAGGGGAGAAUGGAAUUCCCGGUGUAGCGGUGAAAUGCGCAGAUAUCGGGAGGAACACCGGUGGCGAAGGCGGUUCUCUGGGCCUGUGCUGACGCU
rnacentral:rRNA from 1 species